AUCUAUGUAAUAGUGUUCUGUGAGGCAAAAUGCCGAGACGUUGUGCAUUUGGCUGUGAGUCCAUUAAUAUUACAAUGCACAGGCUACCUAAUCGUAUCAGAAAUCCUGAUCUGUUUAAAACUUGGGUUAAGCUAGUUGGUGGAAAAUUAGAAUCAAUAUCAGACUAUGAACAUUAUCAAAAGAAGAGAAUAUGUGAUAUACAUUUCAUAGACAGUGAUAGGAACCAACAUAAUCGAUUGAAUGCAAAAGCAUUUCCUUCUCUUCAUAUACCAAGGCAAUUAGUAAGUAAAUUAACAUUAGAGAACUCUUCAAGCUCCACAAAACACUCUGAGCAAGAAACCACAACACAACUAAUCAAUGAGGAAAUCUCUAAUGACAACUCUGCUGUACAAUAUUUGCUAAUGGAACAUAAUUAUGCUGAGACAAGUAAAUCAAGGGGAAAGCCUAGAAUUGAUAGCGUCAGAUCAUCCAUCAUACAACCUCAACUAGAUAUAAAUUUUGAACAAAUUCAUAACAAUGUUCUCUCUUGCUCCAAUAAUGACAUGAAACAGUCACACAAAAAUUUCAAAAACAAAUUGACAUUGCCUGAACAGAGUAUUACACCAAAAGAGGACACCAAGAGGCACAAACUCGAGCUUACUACUGGUACAAGCCAUACUUCCUACUCUGCUGAUAGGACUGAUCUGAUGGUGGCCAUCACGACCGAUAAAUCAAACUACAUCAGUGAAGAAAAUUCAGAACUGGUACAAAAGCUUCUGCACAAGGCGAUCCUCGACUUUUGUGAUGGAGAUAGGCCUGUACAUCCCUUUCCAUCGUUUCAAAUAAAACCGACGUAUUCAGAAGGAGUCCUGAAACUUUGGUGCCUAGACAAAUUCACAUUAGCUUGGCUAACAAAAGCAGUCUCCGAUAUAACCUUACCCGCUGACGUUAAACCAAUAGUUAAAAAAUUAUCUGAUCUUCCAACGUUCAUUCGCUGCCGUAUCCUCAUACCGGGUACAUGGGAAGAUAAAGACAUGGUUUUCCGAGUUCUAAUGAACCAAAAUCAUUGGGCACAGAUAAAUCGUUGGCGCACGUACAGGUACCUACCACAAAAAGGUGUGGCAUUGUGUGUAGUGGGUGUACCUGAUGAUGUCAUCCCGCGUUUAUUGGAGGCGGGGCGGAGACUCAGUUUUAUGUUGGGCUCCGUUUACGUGAAGUUAAAUACGGGUAUACGGAAAUUUAUUCGGACAUUGCCGAAAUCAAAUAACUCCGUAGUAGACAGUCCUAUAGACGAGAGCACCACGUCCACAAUAACAUUAGAGGAAGUGUCAAGCACUAGUAACAUGAUAGAGCCCAGAGUUACUAUAGGAUUUAUACGACCAACAACUGAGCCUAUCGAAUUGGAUAUGGAAUUGCCCAGUGUAUUGCUCUCUGAAUCCAAUGAUGUGGAAGUGGAGGAGGUUGCAUAGCAGCCGAAACUAUUCAAAUUGAAUUCACAUCACGCAGAAAAGUUGACUCCACUCUAAUGACGGUGGCCUCGAUUGCUAACUAUCUCCAACCAACCUACAAACAUGGUGGAGGAAAAAUAAAUCGUUAAAAUAACCAUUGUUUGAGUAAAUACGAGUGUUUCAACAUAAAAAAUAAAAUGGCUACGAGAAUGUGAUCAUAACAGACUGUGACACUUGUCACGAUUUCGUGGGAUAUCAAAACGCAAUUAAGAGGUAGCGGUUAACUUUUGAAAUAAGAAUCCUUUGGAAAAAAUAGACAAUGUAUGUAACUUAAAAAACGCUAAGAUGUUAAGUCACAAAUUAAACGAUUGAAUGUGGAGUCUUAAUCAAUCAGUUCAAUACCUCUGUGAAGACAUAAUAUUGUCUUACGUCACGACACCUGCAUACAAAGCGUGAAGAUGUAAUAAGUUUUUUUUAGAAUGUAAAACUUUUCAGGAGAUUUAGUCAAUAAUGUUUUAACAGGUAAUCUAUGUUGGGUUUUAAUGUAAAAUUAUUAUGUGAGACAAAAACUAAAACCAAGCCAAAAUUUAGUCUUGUUCAGUUAUUGGAUGGGGUAACAGAUGCAGUGUGAGUGACUUAUGUUGAUGGCUGCUUAGAUUAGAGUCUUAAAUAAUAUUAAUCGAGAAACAAGGCAGAGAGAAGAAGAGAGAAUAUAAUAUGUAUAUAUACAUAUAUUAUAAUGUUGCUAGUCCCAUGGUCACGUUUAAAUUGCACACUUAUUUACGCCCCAGGCCAUAGAUUGUAUGGUCUUGGCAUGCAGUUGAACCCUAUUGAAUAUUUGUGCGCUUCGAUUACAGUGCCUACUGCUUCGAACAUUCUGUGUAGUUUGUCUAUUCUUUAUCAAUGAUGCUACUGCUCUUUUUGUUUUUAUUAUAUUAUUAUUAUAUUUAUUAUAUAAUUUUUAAUGGUUUUAUUUGUUAAGAGAUGAACUUUGUUGCCACGAGGUAUAGUUUCUAAAUUCUAAAAAGUGCCUGUUAAAUUUUUUACACUUUACUUAUUGCGACAUGAUUGCAUAAAUUUGGUAAAAUACUAAUCGCCAUAUAACAUUUUGAUCAAUAAUAUUCUAAACAGAUAAUAAUGCAGAUGAAAUUUGCAUGUCCAUGAGCCAGCUUUUCUCAUAUUAAUGAGUCAAAACAAGAUAAUAAUAUAAAUAACUAAAUAAUAAACAGUAAUUUACCUCUAAAUUUUAAAUUACGUAAGUGAAAUCGUGAGAUAUAUAUUAUCAAAAAUGCUCAUAGUAGUUUCAAGCUUAUAAACAAUUACAUACUUAAUGUUAUUAGUAGUUUCUUUAAUUACAUUAAUUUAUCUUCUACUUGAUCUUCAUUUGAAUAUACAGUCGUGGUCAACUAAUUAGGGACAAUCUCUAGUUAAGCCAAAUUGUGAAUAUUUUUUUUAUUUUCCAACGAGUCUUAGCAAUGUUCCAUAUCUUUUACAUGUAAUCAUUAAGUGUAAUUAGUCAUUUAUGUGCGCGAUUAUACAAACAAUAAUAACUUCUUAAACAUUAAACCUCUUUACAGUAUAGCUGAUACAAUAUCAUAGUGCUAUUGGUUCAAAUAAUGCUGGCUGGCCAUUUAAUUAGGGACACUGAGGUAUUGUGUUCUAAUUAAAAAAUUGGAAUUUUAAUACUUUUUUGUUUCUUUUCUUAUUGUUUAGUGGUCGUUUUGGCGGCAAUCCCGAUUUUUUAUUUUAAGUUUUGAGAAUUAUUUUGAAGAAAAAUAGACAAAAAUAAAAGUUGCGAUCCGACACUACGAAAAAUUAUCAUGAAGUUUGUCGAGCGUGGUUGGUCAUACCGAAGGAUAGCACAACAUUUAAAUUGUUCAAAAACUAUGGUAUGCAAUGCAGUGCAACAUUUCAAACGCUAUAACACAGCUUUAAACGUGUCCAGAACAAAAAGAUAGAGAAAACCGACUCCGCAAGAAGAUAGAAUGAUAACCAGGUUAGCUAAGAAAGAUCCGUUUCUAGGCUCUAUUUUAAUUAAACACGAAGUGUUUGGGGCAAACGAAAGAGCCGGUGUAUUUGCGAGAACCGUUCGACGAUGUUUGGUAGAAGCAGGGUUGUUCGGAAGAGUGGCUCGCAAAGUACCUUUUUUUUUUUUUUUUUCCUACCUAAGCUGAUAGCCCUAGCGGCUAUGUCAGCGUAACCCUAACUUUAGUAGGUGAGCUCACGGGGCUCAAACCUGACGAUGUUGCUAACACGAACCCUAGCAAGAGCCGUGCUUCGCAGAAUCUACCACCGGAUCGGAAACGCGACCCACUGAGAAGAUCCGGCGAGAAACUCAGUGGGCUGUGUCUGAGAGUUAGUUUACUCGUCGAGCCCUUCGUCGCAAGCGACGGGUUCGACGAGAACGGUGACCGGUGCUUGAAGUACCUAAAAGCACCGUUAGUGGAUCGGGAGGAUCCGAGAUGACGUGUUUUGGGCGACGUCGACUGCUUUCCAUUCUGUCCGCAGGAUCGGGAAUGUAGUUACCGGCGGCCACGAUGAGAGGGUUCUCGUGUCGUGCCGCUUUAUCGAAGUGGCGCAUGGACGCCGACUGCAGAUACUUACUGAUGGACUCGUAAGUCCAGGUCGUCAUGGAGGUCGACAUUCCUGACGAACCACGGGGCUCCGACGGCUAUCCUGCAAAAACGGGAUUGAAUGACUUGGAAUGAUUUCAAGUGUAUGCGGGCCGCGUGAGCGAACACUACACUUGCAUAGGUCAUGACGGGGCGUAUGCAAGUUUUGUAGAGUGUCACCUUAUUUCUAAGGGACAUUUUACUUCGCCUAGAUAUCAUCGGGUAGAGACGUCCUAGAAUGAAGGCGGCACGAUCGCGUACCGUCUUGAUGUGGGGGCGGAAUGUCAUCCUACUGUCGAGGGUGACGCCUAAAUAUUUGACCUUCGGGGCCCACGGUAUGGGCUGGUCGAACAUCGUGAUUGGGCGAACGGCGGGGGCGGAGGUGUUGACGCGCCUAGUCGGGAGGGGGAUGCUCAGCGUGGUGUUCGGAGGGCGACCCCUUUUGAAGAGCACCGCUGUGCUUUUCGUGGGGUUGAUGUCGAUGCGCCACUUCCGGAACCACUGUCCCAUGGUGGUAGCUGCGGUCUGAAGUCGUCGAUGAAGCAACGCCUUCUUCCUACACGAGUAGUAGAUGGCGGUGUCAUCGGCGAAGAGCGCCAGAUGGGUCUCCGGAGACCGGGGUAUAUCGUUGAUAUACAAACUAAAUAGUAACGGGGAGAGGGCGGAGCCUUGCGGGACUCCGGCUGUGACGUGACGGGGCCGGGAACGCGUUCCCUCGACUCGAUAUCGGAACGAACGGUUCGACAAGUAGUCUCGUAUGAUGAGCACGAGUCUGUCUGGCACUCCCAUGUUAUACAGUUUGUAUAUCAAACCGUUGUGCCAGACUUUGUCGAACGCCUUCGCUAUAUCGAAGAAGAGGGCUCCUGUCGGAAUGGGUUUCCGCCUGUUCAGCCCUAGUAAGAUGUGCUCCGUGAGGCGGUGCACUUGAUGGACGCACGAGUGUCUGGCGCGGAAUCCAAACUGCUCGUCUAUGAGAAUUUUAUUCGCGGAUACGAAGUCCCAGAGGCGUUUACGAAGGAGCCGUUCGUAUAGUUUGCCUAUCGCCGGGAGGAGACUGAUGGGGCGGUAACUCGCGGUUUCGUUCUUCGGUUUGCCCGGCUUGUGUAUGCCGAUAACGUCCGCUUCUUUCCACGCCGCGGGAAAGAUGCAGUUCGUCAUAGCAGCAUUUAAUAUGGUGGUAAAUACGAGUGUUUCAACAUAAAAAAUAAAAUGGCUACGAGAAUGUGAUCAUAACAGACUGUGACACUUGUCACGAUUUCGUGGGAUAUCAAAACGCAAUUAAGAGGUAGCGGUUAACUUUUGAAAUAAGAAUCCUUUGGAAAAAAUAGACAAUGUAUGUAACUUAAAAAACGCUAAGAUGUUAAGUCACAAAUUAAACGAUUGAAUGUGGAGUCUUAAUCAAUCAGUUCAAUACCUCUGUGAAGACAUAAUAUUGUCUUACGUCACGACACCUGCAUACAAAGCGUGAAGAUGUAAUAAGUUUUUUUUAGAAUGUAAAACUUUUCAGGAGAUUUAGUCAAUAAUGUUUUAACAGGUAAUCUAUGUUGGGUUUUAAUGUAAAAUUAUUAUGUGAGACAAAAACUAAAACCAAGCCAAAAUUUAGUCUUGUUCAGUUAUUGGAUGGGGUAACAGAUGCAGUGUGAGUGACUUAUGUUGAUGGCUGCUUAGAUUAGAGUCUUAAAUAAUAUUAAUCGAGAAACAAGGCAGAGAGAAGAAGAGAGAAUAUAAUAUGUAUAUAUACAUAUAUUAUAAUGUUGCUAGUCCCAUGGUCACGUUUAAAUUGCACACUUAUUUACGCCCCAGGCCAUAGAUUGUAUGGUCUUGGCAUGCAGUUGAACCCUAUUGAAUAUUUGUGCGCUUCGAUUACAGUGCCUACUGCUUCGAACAUUCUGUGUAGUUUGUCUAUUCUUUAUCAAUGAUGCUACUGCUCUUUUUGUUUUUAUUAUAUUAUUAUUAUAUUUAUUAUAUAAUUUUUAAUGGUUUUAUUUGUUAAGAGAUGAACUUUGUUGCCACGAGGUAUAGUUUCUAAAUUCUAAAAAGUGCCUGUUAAAUUUUUUACACUUUACUUAUUGCGACAUGAUUGCAUAAAUUUGGUAAAAUACUAAUCGCCAUAUAACAUUUUGAUCAAUAAUAUUCUAAACAGAUAAUAAUGCAGAUGAAAUUUGCAUGUCCAUGAGCCAGCUUUUCUCAUAUUAAUGAGUCAAAACAAGAUAAUAAUAUAAAUAACUAAAUAAUAAACAGUAAUUUACCUCUAAAUUUUAAAUUACGUAAGUGAAAUCGUGAGAUAUAUAUUAUCAAAAAUGCUCAUAGUAGUUUCAAGCUUAUAAACAAUUACAUACUUAAUGUUAUUAGUAGUUUCUUUAAUUACAUUAAUUUAUCUUCUACUUGAUCUUCAUUUGAAUAUACAGUCGUGGUCAACUAAUUAGGGACAAUCUCUAGUUAAGCCAAAUUGUGAAUAUUUUUUUUAUUUUCCAACGAGUCUUAGCAAUGUUCCAUAUCUUUUACAUGUAAUUAGUCAUUUAUGUGCGCGAUUAUACAAACAAUAAUAACUUCUUAAACAUUAAACCUCUUUACAGUAUAGCUGAUACAAUAUCAUAGUGCUAUUGGUUCAAAUAAUGCUGGCUGGCCAUUUAAUUAGGGACACUGAGGUAUUGUGUUCUAAUUAAAAAAUUGGAAUUUUAAUACUUUUUUGUUUCUUUUCUUAUUGUUUAGUGGUCGUUUUGGCGGCAAUCCCGAUUUUUUAUUUUAAGUUUUGAGAAUUAUUUUGAAGAAAAAUAGACAAAAAUAAAAGUUGCGAUCCGACACUACGAAAAAUUAUCAUGAAGUUUGUCGAGCGUGGUUGGUCAUACCGAAGGAUAGCACAACAUUUAAAUUGUUCAAAAACUAUGGUAUGCAAUGCAGUGCAACAUUUCAAACGCUAUAACACAGCUUUAAACGUGUCCAGAACAAAAAGAUAGAGAAAACCGACUCCGCAAGAAGAUAGAAUGAUAACCAGGUUAGCUAAGAAAGAUCCGUUUCUAGGCUCUAUUUUAAUUAAACACGAAGUGUUUGGGGCAAACGAAAGAGCCGGUGUAUUUGCGAGAACCGUUCGACGAUGUUUGGUAGAAGCAGGGUUGUUCGGAAGAGUGGCUCGCAAAGUACCUUUUUUUUUUUUUUUUUCCUACCUAAGCUGAUAGCCCUAGCGGCUAUGUCAGCGUAACCCUAACUUUAGUAGGUGGGCUCACGGGGCUCAAACCUGACGAUGUUGCUAACACGAACCCUAGCAAGAGCCGUGCUUCGCAGAAUCUACCACCGGAUCGGAAACGCGACCCACUGAGAAGAUCCGGCGAGAAACUCAGUGGGCUGUGUCUGAGAGUUAGUUUACUCGUCGAGCCCUUCGUCGCAAGCGACGGGUUCGACGAGAACGGUGACCGGUGCUUGAAGUACCUAAAAGCACCGUUAGUGGAUCGGGAGGAUCCGAGAUGACGUGUUUUGGGCGACGUCGACUGCUUUCCAUUCUGUCCGCAGGAUCGGGAAUGUAGUUACCGGCGGCCACGAUGAGAGGGUUCUCGUGUCGUGCCGCUUUAUCGAAGUGGCGCAUGGACGCCGACUGCAGAUACUUACUGAUGGACUCGUAAGUCCAGGUCGUCAUGGAGGUCGACAUUCCUGACGAACCACGGGGCUCCGACGGCUAUCCUGCAAAAACGGGAUUGAAUGACUUGGAAUGAUUUCAAGUGUAUGCGGGCCGCGUGAGCGAACACUACACUUGCAUAGGUCAUGACGGGGCGUAUGCAAGUUUUGUAGAGUGUCACCUUAUUUCUAAGGGACAUUUUACUUCGCCUAGAUAUCAUCGGGUAGAGACGUCCUAGAAUGAAGGCGGCACGAUCGCGUACCGUCUUGAUGUGGGGGCGGAAUGUCAUCCUACUGUCGAGGGUGACGCCUAAAUAUUUGACCUUCGGGGCCCACGGUAUGGGCUGGUCGAACAUCGUGAUUGGGCGAACGGCGGGGGCGGAGGUGUUGACGCGCCUAGUCGGGAGGGGGAUGCUCAGCGUGGUGUUCGGAGGGCGACCCCUUUUGAAGAGCACCGCUGUGCUUUUCGUGGGGUUGAUGUCGAUGCGCCACUUCCGGAACCACUGUCCCAUGGUGGUAGCUGCGGUCUGAAGUCGUCGAUGAAGCAACGCCUUCUUCCUACACGAGUAGUAGAUGGCGGUGUCAUCGGCGAAGAGCGCCAGAUGGGUCUCCGGAGACCGGGGUAUAUCGUUGAUAUACAAACUAAAUAGUAACGGGGAGAGGGCGGAGCCUUGCGGGACUCCGGCUGUGACGUGACGGGGCCGGGAACGCGUUCCCUCGACUCGAUAUCGGAACGAACGGUUCGACAAGUAGUCUCGUAUGAUGAGCACGAGUCUGUCUGGCACUCCCAUGUUAUACAGUUUGUAUAUCAAACCGUUGUGCCAGACUUUGUCGAACGCCUUCGCUAUAUCGAAGAAGAGGGCUCCUGUCGGAAUGGGUUUCCGCCUGUUCAGCCCUAGUAAGAUGUGCUCCGUGAGGCGGUGCACUUGAUGGACGCACGAGUGUCUGGCGCGGAAUCCAAACUGCUCGUCUAUGAGAAUUUUAUUCGCGGAUACGAAGUCCCAGAGGCGUUUACGAAGGAGCCGUUCGUAUAGUUUGCCUAUCGCCGGGAGGAGACUGAUGGGGCGGUAACUCGCGGUUUCGUUCUUCGGUUUGCCCGGCUUGUGUAUGCCGAUAACGUCCGCUUCUUUCCACGCCGCGGGAAAGAUGCAGUUCGUCAUAGCAGCAUUUAAUAUGGUGGCCAACAUCGUUAUCAGUUGGGCUGGUAACAAUUUAAGCGCGCGGUUGCGGAUGCCGUCGGAGCCGGGAGCUUUCCGUGGUUGUAGGCUAUCGAUCGCCUCCUUAACCUCGGAAGUGGUAAUGGGGGGCGCAAAGUACCGUUGUUGAAGAAAGAACAUAGAAAUGCUCGAUUGACAUUUGCACGUAAAUAUGGACAUUGGACCUACGCCCAAUGGCAACAUGUACUUUUCUCUGACGAGACCAAGGUUAAUUUGAUUUCUUCAGAUGGAAGGCAAUAUGUACGACGUCCUGUAAAAGCGGAAAUGAAUCCAAGAUUCACAAAAAAACAGGUGAAACAUGGCGGUGGAAACAUUAAAGUAUGGGGUUCAUUUUCUGGACGUGGAGUGGGACCUGUGAGGAAAGUUCAGGGUAACUUAGACCAACAUCAAUACAAGGCAAUAUUGGAAGAAACUAUGCUUCCCUAUGCUGAGGAGCAUCUCCCUAUUAUAUGAACGUUUCAGCAGGAUAACGACCCGAAACAUACCGCCCAUUCAGUCAAGUCGUUUCUUACCAAUCAGUUUGUAUCGGUGCUAGAUUGGCCAGUAAAUAGCCCGGACCUCAACCCAAUUGAGCACCUUUGGCACGAAAUCAAGAAAAAAGUUGCCACUUAUCGUAAUACAAAUUUGGAUGAACUUCAUGAAGCUUUUUGUGAGGCAUGGGCAAACAUUCCUGUCGAAACAUGUCAGAAACUGAUAAUGUCUAUGCCACAUCGGUGUCAAGCGGUAAUUACUAACAAAGGUUUUGCUACUGGGUACUGAUUUUACACGUAAUAAAAUGGAGCUGUUAAAGAUAUUAUAACACUGAAGAUUAUAAGUUUUGUGUAACUGUAAUUUUCAUUAUACUUUACUGUCCUUAAUUAAAUGUCCACUACAGAAUUGUACCUUAAUAUUUAAUACAUGUUUCAUCUUUGAUAUUAAAUACUUUUUCUAUUUAUAAAAUAUAUUAUUUACAGCCAUUUAUAGCAUAAUAAUCGGACCACAUUAUGCAAAUAAUAGGUGCUGAGAAAUCAAUAGGGUUUUAUAUUUAAAUGUACAUAACUGGUUAUAGCCCUUCACUAUCUUGAAUGUCCCUAAUUAGUUGACCACGACUGUAUAUGAUAAAUAAAUCCACUGUACACAUGCAUUGCACUGAUUACUGAUUGUAUGGUAAAUUGUGAAAUGUCCUCCAGUCUAUUCAUAAUUGUUAAUAUGUACCUACCUAUAUACCUACCUACUUUUAUACAAAUGUAAUAUUGAUUGAUGAAAACAAGACCUGGCUGUAUAGACUAAAGUUCUUUGCCUUUCCAUUAGGGAUAAAUUAAUAUCAUCAUCAUGAUUGAUUAAUACUUUAAAGGUCUAUGGCACUAGGCACACAGGUGGCCCACCUGAAGUUAAGUGGUUACUGGAAGUCUUACACAUAACAACCCAAAUAUUGCGACCCACCCGUGAUUUUAGUAUUAAAUGUGAAUUCUGUAGUAUAGCGCAGACCUACUUUCUAACUGUAGCAUUUGAGUCGACUAUUAUCAAAGCCGGCAAUGUGACUUUUGGACAAUUAUUGGUAAAUCAGAAAAACGAAUUAUUGACUUUGUAUUCCAUUGGCAGUCACAAAACUCUUCUGAACGACAUCUUAGAUAAAUAACAGGUUAAGUUAAUACUUUAUUUAAUGCCUGUUUUGAACCGUAUUCUUUGAAGGAGACGAUUAUAUUCAAAUCAAUCUGUAUCGCCAUAUCAAUAACAUUUUUUUGUCCAAAUGCACAGAUUGCCACCUUUGAUAAUAGACGACUCAUAUAUAACUCUGCGGCAGAAAUGUAUAGGGGAGUAGUAAAUAUCCUUGCGGGGUUAAAACGCUGAGCCAACAGUAAAUCUGUUAUUCAAAAUCUGUAUACAAGGAGUAGUCUAAUUUUUAAUGCAAUAGAUAGCUUUAGUUGUUUAUUAUAGAAAAAUCAGUAAGCGCUUUGUUUUGUUUGCGUUUUGAAAUUAGACGAAUUAAACAUAAAAUAAAGUGUCAAAAAACAGUAUCUAAAUAUAAGCCUAUAAAUUUGU